rnacentral:rRNA from 1 species
AGUGAACGCUUGCGGCGUGCCUAAUACAUGCAAGUCGGAGGAAGUGGCGCACGGGUGAGUAAUAUAUAUCUAAUCUGCCCCUUGCUGGAGGACAACAGUGAGAAAUGACUGCUAAUACGCCAUAGCAAGGGAGGAGAAUAAAUCGUAUAAGCUAGUCGGUGGGGUAACGGACUACAGAGGCUAUGACGCGUAACUGGUAUGAGAGGAUGAUCAGUAAAAUUUGACCUGAGACACGGUCCAGACUCCUACGUGAGGCAGCAGUAGCGAAUAUUGCGCAAUGGGGGUAACCCUGACGCAGCAACGCCGCGUGGAGUAUGUCACUUUUCGGAGCGUAUACUCCUUUUGUUAGGGAAGCGGUACCUAACGAAUAAGCACCGGCUAACUCCGUGCCAGCAGCCGCGGUAAUUC